ensembl:lncRNA
AUGAGAGAAAAUGUUGAGGCAGCACAAAUACAUGGACAGUCACUCCACAGCCCAGUCGCUGUUGUUUCCCCUUUUCUACAGACCAUGGAUGGGUUGACUGUUGAUCAUGUGAUCUUUUUUAGUCUUUCUCCACCUUUGGGCAUCUGGGUUUGUAAAUGGAAAAGUCUUUGGUGGAGAAAAGCCGUGAGCACAGCAGCCUUUGUAGUCGAUUUAAAUUCAGCUAAAGGUCAAAUAUUAAUCCCACUCUUUUUGUAUUUGUUUACAGAUGUUGAUGUUUCAAGGCUCCAUCUCGGCGCCUCUCUACGAAUGGCCGCGGUGAGACCUACCCGUUUUCCCGUACGUCGAUACGACAUGUUGAUCCAGAUGUGCAGCGCGUCGCCUUUGCCUGCGCUUGCAUCUGUCCUCUUGUUGUCCUGUCCCGUGUCUUCAUACAGAAUCAUCGCUAAUCAGCAAACAGCAGCACGGCCAGCGAUGUUAAAUAUGCAAAAUACAGAAAGUACACAGAAUUAAGAGCGGAUGCUCACAAUCUAGUUCAUGCAAAACUCAAAUAAUCUGACCAAUCAGAUGGUCUGAACGAAAAGAAAGGAAGAAUUGUUUGAGACGUUGUUCAGAGUCAGAUAAGAUACCCGGCAAAAAACACACCUUCCUUAUAACUGCUGGGAGUCUCACACAUUUAAUAACUGUCAUUUUUGAAAGUUCGCGGCUGGUCGAGGGGGGAGGAGUCAAGUUCAGCCCUUUAACCUUUUAAUAAUUAUUUAUAUAUAUAAGUCAAUUCAAUGCGCUUCAUGUAAAACAUUGUUAAACUAAUUGCAUAAUAACCUUAAAAAACACAUAUGAAUACAACUGGAAACAGUAAUUUAUGGAAAAUGACAGAAAACGUGGAAGCUUGAAGAGGCCGUAGCCAGAAUAAGUACAAUUGAAUCACAAAGGCAGAAAAAGGAGAUAAAUGUGUCAUCAAUCAUCGAUGUAGUUGUGACCCCGUCAGCAGUGUGUAUUGAAUGAGCAUCCACCUGCGUAUACAGCACACAGCGCAUGAAUGAGACCCGGCCGUGUCCCUGUGUCCCCCAUGUCCAACGUGUCCCCCCCCCGUGUCCCCUCCCUCUCACAAUCAGCCACAUUUCUUUGUCGGUUUCUCUCGGCUGAGAUGUUGACGCCGUCUCUGUUCUUCUCCUUCAGAUGGAAAUCCGGGACAGUGGGGGGCCGGGCUUUGGAGUCCAGCGGUUCCACUGAGAACCAAACCCCCCCCCCAGUUCCCCCCGUCCGCUCCUCCGCCCGUUCCUCCGCCCGCUCCUCCUCGUCUCUACGGAGCGUUUCAGACCAAACCCUCAAGGCCGAACUCCAGCAGCUUGUGAAUUAGAACAGGGGGGGAGGUGUGUGUGGGAGGGGGGGGGGGGACGGAGAGGAACGCAUCUUGAGAAGAAGUGUCCCAUUCUGGGAUAAAACCAGUCAGCACACAGCGCGAUAUGAAGGUAUUAAUAAUGUCGCUGUGCAGUGGGUGCGUUCUGUGCACAUUUUUAUUUUCAUGGCUUUUUCCAGCUGUAAACUGUAACAUUAUAUGCUGUGUGUGUGUGUGUGUGUGUGUGUGUGUGUGUGUGUGUGUGUCGGUGCUACUUCUGAUAGAAGAUGAUUUUGUGCAGCCACAGUGUCAUUUUGAGGUAUUUUUCAGGACAAUUUUCCACUGCUCUUUGUGUGAGACUCGUAUGUAACUUGUGAGGGUGAAAGCAUUCAUGUUAAAGCACUGAACAUGAAAAUCCCUGUGAGCUGUGGAAUAGUAGAACAGAAGGUGUGUGUGUGUG